CAAUAGCUACUUGCAUCAUUGUAAAUAUGAUGCAAGAUCGACUAUGUCGAAUAAAAUUCUAGGUAGAAUUAUGAUAAUGACAUUGUCUGCCUAUGUGUCUUGACCAAAUUACGUGCCAGCAGUCGCGGUAAUACGUAGAAGACUAGUGUUAUUCAUGUUUAAUCGGUUUAAAGGGUACCUAGACGGUAAAUAAAGCCUAAAAGGAAAGAAAUAAAGGGACUAAUUUACUAGAGUUACUUAUGAGGGGGUAUUAAAGUACUGCUGGUGUAGAGAUGAAAUUCUGUCAUACCUCUUUUCAAUAGAAAAAUAACGGCACAGGUAUAGGCGAAGGCAUCCCCUUAUGUGAUAACUGACGUUGAGGGACGAAGGCUUUGUGUAGCGAACAGGAUUAGAUACCCCAGUAGUCAAAGCAGAAAAUGAUGAAUGUCAUAGAUUAGAUGUAUAAGUUUAUUCUAUAAAUGAAAGUGUAAGCAUUCCACCUCAAGAGUAAUUUGGCAACAUUGGAACUGAAAUCAUUAGACCGUUUCUGAAACCAGUAGUGAAGUAUGUUGUUUAAUUUGAUGAUCCGCAAAAAACCUUACCACAAUUUGAAUAUUUUUACUUAUUGUUUUCUUUUUAAUUUUCUUCUGAUUUUCUGCCUGAGGAAAAAAGAAGAAAAGAAAAAAGAGGCAAUAAG
rnacentral:rRNA from 1 species